GACGAACGCUGGCGGCGUGCUUAACACAUGCAAGUCGAACGCGCCUGUCCUCUGGGUUUCUGGGGGGUGGGUGAGUGGCGAACGGGUGAGUAACACGUGAGUAACCUGCCCCCUUCUUCGGGAUAACGGUCUGAAAGGGCUGCUAAUACCGGGUAUUCACUGGUCUCCGCAUGGGGUCUGGUGGAAAGGUUUUUUUCUGGUGGGGGAUGGGCUCGCGGCCUAUCAGCUUGUUGGUGGGGUGAUGGCCCACCAAGGCUUUGACGGGUAGCCGGCCUGAGAGGGUGACCGGUCACAUUGGGACUGAGAUACGGCCCAGACUCCUACGGGAGGCAGCAGUGGGGAAUAUUGCACAAUGGGCGCAAGCCUGAUGCAGCGACGCCGCGUGAGGGAUGGAGGCCUUCGGGUUGUGAACCUCUUUCGCCCGUGGUCAAGCCGCGACGUGGGUCGUGGUGAGGGUAGUGGGUAAAGAAGCGCCGGCUAACUACGU
rnacentral:rRNA from 1 species